rnacentral:rRNA from 1 species
GACGAACGCUGGCGGCGUGCUUAACACAUGCAAGUCGAACGGAAAGGCCCUGCUUUUGUGGGGUGCUCGAGUGGCGAACGGGUGAGUAACACGUGAGUAACCUGCCCUUGACUUUGGGAUAACUUCAGGAAACUGGGGCUAAUACCGGAUAGGAGCUCCUGCUGCAUGGUGGGGGUUGGAAAGUUUCGGCGGUUGGGGAUGGACGCGCGGCUUAUCAGCUUGUUGGUGGGGUAGUGGCUUACCCAGGCGUUGCCGGGUAGCCGGCCUGAGAGGGUGACCAGCGACAUUGGGACUGCGAGACGGCGCAGACUCCUACGGGAGGCAGCAGGGGGGAAUAUGGCGCAAUGGGCGGAAGCCUGAUGCAGCAACGCCGCGUGCGGGAUGACGGCCUUCGGGUUGUGAACCGCUUUCGCCUGUGACGAAGCGUGAGUGACGGUAAUGGGUAAAGAAGCACCGGCUAACUACGUG